GAUGAACGCUGGCGGCGUGCCUAAUACAUGCAAGUCGAGCGAACAGAUGAGGAGCUUGCUCCUCUGACGUUAGCGGCGGACGGGUGAGUAACACGUGGAUAACCUACCUAUAAGACUGGGAUAACUUCGGGAAACCGGAGCUAAUACCGGAUAAUAUAUUGAACCGCAUGGUUCAAUAGUGAAAGACGGUUUUGCUGUCACUUAUAGAUGGAUCCGCGCCGCAUUAGCUAGUUGGUAAGGUAACGGCUUACCAAGGCAACGAUGCGUAGCCGACCUGAGAGGGUGAUAGGCCACACUGGAACUGAGACACGGUCCAGACUCCUACGGGAGGCAGCAGUAGGGAAUCUUCCGCAAUGGGCCAAAGCCUGACGGAGCAACGCCGCGUGAGUGAUGAAGGUCUUCGGAUCGUAAAACUCUGUUAUUAGGGAAGAACAAAUGUGUAAGUAACUCUGCACGUCUUGACGGUACCUAAUCAGAAAGCCACGGCUAACUACGUG
rnacentral:rRNA from 1 species